ACCUUUCCCAUCUCGUCUCCCCCAACCCCAAGCCAGGCGCACAUAACAAGUGCUACAGCCACCUCCCGCUCACAACCAUCACCUUUCCCAUCCCACACGAGCUAAGCGCACACAGCAAGCGCCACAGAUCCUGCCCAGCGAGCUAGCAAGGACUCCAUCGGCUUCUCCGCCUCACCUCUCCGCAGCGAGCAGAGCAGAGGCAGAGCAGGGGAUGAAGCGGGUAGCUGGGAGCCCGGGGACGUGGAGCGGCAUGGCGCUGCGGCUGUCGCAGUGCGUCUGCGCCGCCGCGUCCACCUUCUCCAUGGUCUCCGGCUUCGGCUACUCCAACUACAGCGCCUUCUUCUACAUGAAUCUAGCGUUGAUCCUGCAGAUUAUGUGGAGUUUGGGCCUUGCUUGUAAGGAUAUCUUUGCUCUAAGGAAUAAAAAGGAUCUUCACACCCGAGAUAAUCUAUUCAUCAUUGUUAUGGUUGAUUGGAUAAGCCGUUCACUUUGUCUCUUCUAUUGUCCUUGAGGUCGUGGCGAUUUUCAUGUUUUCAGGAGCAUGUUCCUCGGCGAGCCUGACAAUUUUCUUCAUGUGGGAUGCGCACUUCUGCGAGGCAUACCCGCGGCUGGCCUGCCGGCAGUUCGCGCUUUCGGUCGUCCUGGCGUUCAUCACGUGGUUGCUGCAAGCUGCAUCUUCUUUCUCCGGGUUCUGGCUACUGGUUUCGCUCUUCUAGUGAUCUCACGUGCUCAUUCGCCGUCACGUCAUGCUAAUUGUCAGUCAGGACUCAGGAGAGUAAAUUGGUUGAAAUGUGCUCGGGACACUUGCUAGAUUUCAUCCCUGUUGGAUCGACGGAUUGUCUGUUUGAUAGUAGCUCAUCUUUA